UACGGGGGGGGCAAGCGUUGUUCGGAAUUACUGGGCGUAAAGGGCUCGUAGGUGGCCAACUAAGUCAGACGUGAAAUCCCUCGGCUUAACCGGGGAACUGCGUCUGAUACUGGAUGGCUUGAGUUUGGGAGAGGGAUGCGGAAUUCCAGGUGUAGCGGUGAAAUGCGUAGAUAUCGGGAGGAACACCAGUGGCGAAGGCGGCGAUCUGGGAAGAUACUGACGCUGAGGUGCGAAAGCGUGGGGAGCAAACAGG
rnacentral:rRNA from 1 species